rnacentral:lncRNA from 1 species
GGCGACAACUCUGGAUAUAAAAUACUAAUUACCUCUUCUUACCCAGGUGUGUGUAAUAGUUGUAAUCUACAGCCUCGUGGCUAACUAGGAAUAUUAAACUUCUCCCUAAACUAACGGCCACCGAACUGCAGAUGGAGUGUUCCCGAAUGGAACUUGGGGGGAAUCUACUGAAGAUCUUCAACGGCUACGUAAGCCUGAGCUCAUGUCUCUUAUCCGUCCCUAGAUACAGUCCCGUGAGUGUGAUCUCAACACCUACGACUUAUCCGCUGAACCGAUAGACAAUUAUCUCUGUCGCGUCAACGAGGCCAGGCAAAAUUAUGUUAACUGCUGUGGUCCUCAUGCAAUGACUCCUACUAAGAUGAUGUGGUUGUAGGAACAAAUAUCAAGAACACUACAUCCUCGAAACUGAGCCAGACAGCUUUCAAGUUUUACAAAUGUAAAACUGUAUGAAGUAAUCCAACUUGAACGCGCCUCGAGUCAACAUAGGUCCAUUUCCGGGAAAUGGUUACGGACUAAACUGUUCUAACUUCGAAAUAAAGGUUCGAAGGACAUCAGGCGUAUCAAAAAGUACAACUGUCUGCGGGGUCAUGCUGAAAAUUCAAGCCUGCUGUAGGGAAGAUUUGCUCCAAACCAUUUCAUUAACCAGGAAAUAUAUAGUGGUGCAGUUGGCAAUCAAGUGGUUUGGUUAGAUCUGUGAUAGAUUUGAUGUUCCUAGUUGAAGUCUCAAGGAUCCCAAUAGUAAAAAGAUUUUAUUAUGGAGCACUGUGCUGAGUUUUUAAAUCUUUUACGAAACCUCUCUUAUAAAAUAUUCAUAUCUUGGUUUUUUUACUCUUACUCUGAACAAAAUGCAAACUGAUCCGAGCAAAUCGAUGAAUAUGUUCAGGUGUAACUUCGACAACUAGCUUGAGGAUGUUGUCUAGUUUAUGGAUACCUUUAAAAUAAUUUCAAUGACUCGAAAAGAAGAAA